rnacentral:rRNA from 1 species
UUCCUAUAAGGAAGUAAGAUCCCUGAAAGAUGAUCAGGUUGAUAGGUCUGAGGUGGAAGUGUGGCGACACAUGGAGCUGACAGAUACUAAUCGAUCGAGGACUUAACCUA